GACGAACGCUGGCGGCAUGCCUAACACAUGCAAGUCGAACGGAGAUUAUUUCGGUACUCUUAGUGGCGAACGGGUGAGUAACGCGUGGGCAACCUGCCCUCUAGAUGGGGACAACAUCCCGAAAGGGGUGCUAAUACCGAAUGUGACAGCAAUCUCGCAUGAGGAUGCUGUGAAAGAUGGCCUCUAUUUAUAAGCUAUCGCUAGAGGAUGGGCCUGCGUCUGAUUAGCUAGUUGGUGGGGUAACGGCCUACCAAGGCGAUGAUCAGUAGCCGGUCUGAGAGGGUGAACGGCCACAUUGGGACUGAGACACGGCCCAGACUCCUACGGGAGGCAGCAGUGGGGAAUCUUCCGCAAUGGGCGAAAGCCUGACGGAGCAAUGCCGCGUGAGUGAUGAAGGAAUUCGUUCCGUAAAGCUCUUUUGUUUAUGACGAAUGUGCAGAUUGUGAACAAUGAUCUGUAAUGACGGUAGUAAACAAAUAAGCCACGGCUAACUACGUG
rnacentral:rRNA from 1 species